CUACUACUUCCUCCGUCCGAAAAUACUUGUCAUUGAAAUGGAUGUAUCUAGAUGUAUUUUAGUUCUAGACACAUCCAUUUUGAUGACAAGUAAUUCCGGACGGAGGGAGUAUUAU
rnacentral:pre_miRNA from 1 species